GCCCUCCAGGUUCCUUACCCGCAUAAGAUCUAAACACUGGUCUGAGUGGGUAUAAAAGGGGGAAAGUAGAAUGCAAACUGACUUCAAUGUUUUUGUGGUACGCGAGUUUGUGUUUUGUUGUU
rnacentral:snoRNA from 1 species